UCUGGUGGUUAGAGCGAAGUGGCACCACCCGUUCUCAUCUCGAACACGGAAGUGAAACGCUUCAGCGCAGA
rnacentral:rRNA from 1 species